GUUCAUCUCGGCUGACCGGAACGAGCAGGACAUGCUCAACUACAUGCGCGCCUCCCACGGCGACUGGUACGCUCUGCCUUUCGACGAUCCGCUCCACGGCGAACUUACAGAGCGCUUCAAGGUCGCCGGCGUUCCCACGCUGCUGGUGAUGACACCCGAUGGCACCGUCGUCUGCCCCAACGGCAAGAAGAUGGUCCAGGAGCGCGGAGUGCAGGCGUUUCGCGAUUGGCUCAGCCACUAAGACGUCAUCGGACGUGCUCUUAGAUGUGACGCCCUCCGUGAAGCCCGUUACUAUGUCGAACGCUAUUUGCUUAUUUGCUUAUUGUGGAGCAAUAUGCAACAUUGCCUCAAUUAAGGGCAAAACGUCAACCACAUGUUAUUCAGAUAUAAUAAACGUGCUUAUUUGAUAGUUA